UACGGAGGGUGCAAACGUUGCUCGGAAUCAUUGGGCGUAAAGGGCUCGUAGGCGGUUUGUCGCGUCGGGAGUGAAAACCAGGUGCUUAACACCUGGCUUGCUUUCGAUACGGGCAGACUAGAGGUAUUCAGGGGAGAACGGAAUUCCUGGUGUAGCGGUGAAAUGCGCAGAUAUCAGGAGGAACACCGGUGGCGAAGGCGGUUCUCUGGGAAUGACCUGACGCUGAGGAGCGAAAGUGUGGGGAGCGAACAGG
rnacentral:rRNA from 1 species